GAUGAACGCUAGCGGCAGGCCUAAUACAUGCAAGCCGAACGGCAAUCCCGACGGCAACGUCGGGACUAGAGUGGCGUAAGGGCGCGCAACACGUAUGGAAUCUACCCGCAACAGGAGGAUAGCUCUCCGAAAGGGGAAUUAAUCCUGCAUAGGAUUUAGGGGCGGCAUCGCCUUUAGAUUAAACUUUCAAGGGUUGUGGAUGAUCAUGCGCAUGAUUAGUUAGUUGGC
rnacentral:rRNA from 1 species